CAUGGCAGUUCAGGGCAGUUCUUCCUUUACGGUUUUUAGCAGCUCCCCGUUAUUUUGCCCACGUCUGGUAACCUCCAACCUGUCUCCUUUUUUUCCUCCUCACGUCACAGGUAUCCUUCAUAUACUACACAUCUGAUUUAUACACAGACAAAUAACAUAGCUUUCAUCAAUUUGCUAUCUCAAACCUUCAUUCAAUCACAACCUGAUGUUUUACACCCCCACUGAUCUACCAUUGUCGUUGAAAUCUUCAAGACCAAGUUCAUCUUUCACGUAACACUAAUGCUUCUUCAAAUUCAUCUUGAUUUUCACUUAGGUGGCUUUGCGAAUAGUCAGUCCAUCACAUAGCAGUUAAUCGAAAAUCAAAACCCUCAAUGAUUCAGAACCGAUGUUGAAGAUUUAGAGAUGAUUCAGUUGGAAAUAUCCAGAUGGGUGAGAAGCCAUUUUUUUGUUGUCUUCUUUUGUUCAGGUAUUAUACGAUUCUUCACACAUAUAGAUCAAAGGCAAAGCUUCAGCAGCUGCAUCUGCAUCGACAACCACCGUGAAUUUCUUACACUCUGCGAUGUUGUUUGAUUGUUAUAUAGUUAGCAGAUCAUUCCGGAGAAUUAAGCCCUAAAUUCAGGAGAGAUGUAUGGUCUUUAUUACUACAAAGGUAAACCAAAAAGGUCAGUAGUUGUUGUGAAAUCAUUUGAAGCCAGGAAUGACCAGGUAGCAGACGACUAGGGUUAGUUUUUUUUCUGUAUCACAAAAUUAGGAUUGAUCCUAAUUUUAGAUUUCAUGGGUUUUAUGCCAAAAAGUUACAGGGGCAUUUUAAUUACAAUGUUUGAUUGUUAGACUAUGGGGUAUGGGGUGGGGUUUGGGGUUGGGGCGUGGGUUGGGUACAAACGCCCAAGUCACCACCCCGGAUGGGCGUGGGUUUCAGCGUGGCCCGUUUAGUGUGGGAUUCAGCCCGGGCAUUGGGCGGGGCUACCCACAUGACAUGGUGGAACCUCAUUGGCCAAGAGCACUAGCCAUGGCGGAACCUCAUUAUGAUGUGGCUUGGCCAUGCCACCCCAGCCACGCCCCACCAUACCCCUUAGAAAUUGGCUUUUGGUCUUGGGUGCCCCAUACUCCAUGUGUCGCACCAUGCCCCCAACCCACGCCCCACCAUACCCCACGGUCUUAAUAUGUUGUGAUAUUUGACAGGAACCAAAAACACUUACAUAGAAACACAUUGCAAAUCAAAAAUUGAUUUGGAGGAAUGAGAACUUCGGACUAUGGUCUCCACCUCCCUCUCCUGGCCUAAUCGUUCAUGAUUUUGGGUGUUGAAAAAAAAAUGUUUUGUUGGGAAUUUGAUUGGAUGAAUGUUGGAGAGAGCUUCUUGAUUAAGCUAUGGUGAAGUUUGCUGAUGUUUACAUGAAAGCUGAUGUUUGUUAAGUGAAUGAAUGAAAGCAUACUUAGAGAAGCAUAAUUUUUAGGGAGCUUGAACUUACAAUAAUUAGUUCAAGUGUUCAACCAUUUAUAGUUUUUAUAGCUAAGGGUGUUCAUAAACUCUUCAAACCGACCCAACUGCCCAAUUGAAGAAAGUUGGAUGUUUUAGUUUGUUUGAGAUUCAAACAGUUUGGAACAUGGAAAUGGCUGUGGAAACUAAACCGUUACCACAAUAAUAGUGGUACGUGAUGCGAUUUGUUUGGUUACGUGCUUCCUCCCAACUGCCUCUCAUCCCCUUUUAAACUAAUAAGAAAACUCAGCGAGAAGAUGUCCCUGCUGAGAUUUAUGGUUUGGUUUCAAUCACCACUUCUUACCUCCAAAAUGUCAAAAGCAUGGGCUCAGUUCUCCGGCGAUGGUGAAGAUUUCUCUCCGAUAAAUGGAAUAAACGAGCUCUUUGCAUGUAUAAACACACUUAUCUUCCAUCUUCAAUCGUCAAUCAUCAUCCCUAGAUCUCAAUAACGAAGUGUUUGUAAAUGGUAGCUCUAACCACCAUUAGACGUCGACCAUGCAUCACCACUACCAGUCUACCAAGAGCAUCCACGUUCCAAGCACCAGUUAACACUGACGCCAACUCGUGUUCUACAAUACAAUGGUCAAGUGGGAAGGUCUAAAGGCAUUCGUGAGCAUUGACAGAACACCAUUAUAUUGUGGAGAUGUUUUAAUCACAAAAGGGUUCACCGAGUCUUAUCAACAUUUACACUUCUGUUGGAUUCUUAGAGCUGGUCACUUACGUAAGUUUUACACUGGUACCUCAUAUAAACAUUUUUAUUUGUUUAGGUGUGCCAAUGUGUUGUUGAGAAUUCCUAUAUGGGUAGUAGUUCCAGGUAUGCAGGUGAUGAUCCAUUUCAUUACUUAUCAUGUCUAAUAACUAAACUAUGGAAUUCUAAGUUUAAAUUACAUGCGAGUCUUCCUGGUGUCAGGUUUGGUGGGAAUGUGAGAAUUAUCUUUUCUCUGGAUGUUAGCCGGGUGCAAGCGUCAUGGAAUGGACUGGGGGUUAUGGGGGGAGCAGAGUGGUUGCUAAAAUAUUUUUUAGUUCUGGUGGCUUUGUUGUUGAUAAUGUAAUGUGUUGGUUUUACUUCGUACCAUGUAAUUAUCCAACUCCUUGCUGGUGUGUCUUUUAAUGAAAGGAUGGCUUUGAUGUUCAAAAGCAAAAUGAUUGAUAUAGUGUUAAUAUUAUGACGUUAACGUUCUCGCCCACUUAAAGACUCAAUCUAAUAUAAGUUAUUGAAAUUGUCUCCAACCUUGCUUUUACGUUUUUAGGCAUAUUAUAUAUGUCUGCGAAUAAAAAACUUGUCGUUAGAGACUUGCGUUGCAAUCGUACUAACAACCGGAAUAUAGUUGUUAUGGUCUCACGCAGAUGGACAAAAUACGACCCAAAACAAACCGUGUUCUUUCUAACGACAUUAUUUUUUCAGAUUAACACGGUUAAAGAAAUAUACCAAGUUUGACAAAUGGGCACUAUGCAUCAAGUCAACAUGUCGAAAAGAGGCCACCUUUGAGGUUAAAGAAGACGAUCCAAAAGCCAAAAAAAUUGAGGCGGUUAACUAUGUUUGAAUGUCAUUACACUUUCCCCCAAUGUUGCCUACCGUUUACUUUUGCAUUAACGUGACACCAUUUCGUGUUUUACCACUCUUAUCAAGUUUAUUUUAUAUUUUUUUCUGCU